CGAUGCUGGUGUGCUCGAAUAAUGGCUGCAAACAUUCUUUGGCUUAGAGCAGAGGAAGAUGGAGCAUUAACAGACCUCGUCCUCUGCAGAUAAACUGAUCAGCAACACAAUAAAUCCAAGAAAUGCCUCCUUGACUCCACUUAACAUGAAAGGCAGAGCAAUAUUUUAAUUGAGGACUUUGGUAACUGGCAGGAAAGCAUGAAAAAGGGACGUACAGAGCC